rnacentral:rRNA from 1 species
UUUAUACAAUGAAGAGUUUGAUCCUGGCUCAGGAUGAACGCUAGCGGCAGGCUUAACACAUGCAAGUCGAGGGGUAACAGAGAUAGCUUGCUAUUUGCUGACGACCGGCGCACGGGUGCGUAACGCGUAUGCAACCUACCUUUUACUGGAGAAUAGCCUUUAGAAAUGAAGAUUAAUACUCCAUAAUAAUUAAGACUCUCCUGAGUUUUAAUUUAAAGUUUCGGCGGUAAAAGAUGGGCAUGCGUUUUAUUAGUUAGUUGGUAAGGUAAUGGCUUACCAAGACUACGAUAAAUAGGGGUCCUGAGAGGGAGAUCCCCCACACUGGUACUGAGACACGGACCAGACUCCUACGGGAGGCAGCAGUGAGGAAUAUUGGACAAU